UUUCCUACGGGGGGCAGCAGUAGGGAAUCUUCCACAAUGGACGAAAGUCUGAUGGAGCAACGCCGCGUGAGUGAAGAAGUAUCUCGGUACGUAAAGCUCUAUCAGCAGGGAAGAAAAAAAGUCUUUGGCUUUGGACGGUACCUGACUAAGAAGCCCCGGCUAACUACGUGCCAGCAGCCGCGGUAAUACGUAGGGGGCAAGCGUUAUCCGGAUUUACUGGGUGUAAAGGGUGCGUAGACGGCAGCGCAAGUCUGGAGUGACAUGCCGGGGCUCAACCCCGGAACUGCUUUGGAAACUGUGCAGCU
rnacentral:rRNA from 1 species